rnacentral:RNase_P_RNA from 1 species
GACAAUCGCUGGCUAUGAAUUAGGUAGUUAGAGGAAAGUCCAUGCUCGCACAAUCUGAGAUGAUUGUAGUGUUUGUGCUAGACUAAAAAAUAAGUCUAGGUAGUGUAAACUAACGGCUGAUUAACUCCUAAGGGUAACUAUGGAGAGCGUCUUUAAAAGUGCCACAGAGACGAGCUAUUGUAGAAAUACAGUAGGUGGAACGGGUAAACCCCACAAGCGAGAAACCCAAAUUUGGUAGGGGAACUUUUGACGGUGAAAUGAAACUGGAUAAGGACGUGUAAUGCGUAGAUAAAUGAUUGUCACUUCCUUUAGGAAGUACAAAACAUGGCUUAUAU